rnacentral:tRNA from 1 species
GUUCUUAUAGUUGAAUACAACAGUGGCUUUUCGAGCCACAGGUCCUGGUUAAACUCCUGGUAAGAAUU